UCUGGGUCUUCCAUGUGGAUGCAGGUUUUGGGCUGUCCUUGACUGCUUUCCCAGGCCACAAGCAGGGACCAGGGUGGGAAGCGAAGUGGCCAGAACACGAA